GCAUAUUAGUAGGCGGUGGAAGAUAAUCCAAAAGGGAUUCCUUCAGUAAUGGCGAAUGAACGGGGAAAAGCUCAGCAAAGAAAUCGAGGACUCCGGCCUUGAGUUGUGGACUUGAGAGGUAUCGCCAAUGGUGGCACAGGUGGGGGCCUCUUGGAAAAGGGCACCACAGAGGGUGUGAGUCCUGUUUGCCAUCUGUAGUCCGCUGUGUACGGCAUGCCUCCUCCGAGUCACGUUCCUUGGAAUUGGAGCGCGAAGGUGGUGGUGGCUUUCAUCUCAAGCUAAGUAUGGGUUCGAGACCGAUAGCAAACAAGUACCAUGAGGGAAAAUUGAAAAGAGCUUUGGAAAGAGAGUUAAAAGUGCCCGAACUUGCUGAUAGGGAAGCGAAGGGAGCUGACGUUGCUUGGUAACAUCUUCCGCGCAGGACUAGGAUGGGUUCUGAUUGCAAUGUGUGUUGUGUUUCUUGCCAUGCGUGUCAAUGCCAAGUAAUGAGUGGGGAGAGCUCCAGGGAUAAUGAUUGUUUCUGUCCCCGGGUAGACGAAUAUGUCUGGGUGCAUCCAUUUGUGGGCUGAAAAAUUGGUGGUUGGUUGCAGCUCCCUGCCUACGAGGCAAUUGGGGUGUAGCCCUGACACGCAGACGAGGACAAAGUGCUUCUGUUCGACCCGUCUUGAAACACGGACCAAGGAGUCUGACACUCAUGCAAGCUCGUUGGUGGGUAAACUUCUUUGCGUAAUUAAGGUGUCUGUUGUGAUUUGUGCACCAACGCCCGACCAAUCAAUUGAGAGAGGUUUGAGUGUGAGCAUUUCUGUCAGGACCCGAAAGAUGGUGAACUAUGCUUGAGAAGGGUAAAUUCAGGGGAAACUCUGAUUGAGGCUCGUAGCGAUACUGACGUGCAAAUCGUUCGUCAUACUUGGGUAUAGGGGCGAAAGACUAAUCGAACCAUCUAG
rnacentral:rRNA from 1 species